UACGUAGGGACCAAGCGUUGUCCGGAAUUACUGGGUGUAAAGGGCGUGUAGGUGGGAGGACAAGUCAGAUGUGAAAUACCAUGGCUUAACUGUGGGGCUGCAUCUGAAACUGUUCUUCUUGAGUACUGGAGAGGAAAGCGGAAUUCCCAGUGUAGCGGUGAAAUGCGUAGAUAUUGGGAGGAACACCAGUGGCGAAGGCGGCUUUCUGGACAGAAACUGACACUGAGGCGCGAAAGCGUGGGGAGCAAACAGG
rnacentral:rRNA from 1 species